GGGGCCUGAUCUCUCUUCUUCCCCCUCCCCCAGCCUGCGUGCAUCUGUGGGCAGGCUCCAGAGCACUGUGGUUGUUUCAUUAAGCAUGGUGACGAGCUGCUGAGAUUAGACCAUCGGAGCGCUCUGGAGAGACGGAAUAAGCCUCUGGAAGGGGGAAAACUUAUAGAGCGGAUGACUGGUUCCUAUGGAGGGGGUGAGGGGUGGAAUAGAGCUGCUUCUGUAACUCUUUGGGUGGGAGUUGUUCUGCCCUCGGUGCUGUGAGGACUGGAAGUGGAGUUGCUUGUAAGGUUUUUUUUGGUUGUGGUGGGGUCGGUUGGCCUUUCUGCCAAAGUUUCUAGGGUCUGAGAAGCAAGUGUAAUGAAGAGACCUAGAGCUGAUGACUCGUGGAGGGAGCAAGAGGCUGGGUGUGUGCUUCUGGAUUCCCUGUGGUGAGGCCUCUGCCCCUGUGCCCUUAGCUGCCUUGGAGCGGGACAUGGUCACAGCCUGGGGGAGGUGCAAGCUUCCUUGGAUGGGUGUGGGGUUGUCUUUGAUUUGUCAGUUUGUUGCAAGGCACAGGGAUGGCUUCUGGGAGCUUGGAGACACUGGGUGGUGGGGCCUGGAUGUGUGUGUAUGCUGUUUGGGAGGGAUUUCCCCUGCCUUUCAGUCUGCUCUUGAUUGACCCUGUGGGCUCCGUGGCUUGUUUUGUCUUUCAGGAUCCUGGCUGUUGUGGAGAGACUUUGAGUUGGAGAUGGAUGCAAAGAAGUGGAGGCGUGCCAUGGUGAUGGAGGAUAGAGCAGGAGGAGUAGUGUGAUGGAAGGUGGACUUACCUCAAGCGGGGGUGGUGUUUUGAGUGGGGGUGUCUGGGUGGGCUGGGAAGUCCCUGCUCUGGGUUGGUGUCCUGAGCUGCACGCUCCCAGGGCAGGGCUACUCAAGCGGAGGGCCAUGGCACCCAGGAGUGCCUCUGAGAUGAGUGGUGUACGGCUGGGCUGGCUUGGCCCAGAGUUGCUCUGAGUCUGUGCAAAGAUCUCCAGGUUGCGGUGGGACAGAGGAUUGGGUCUCUGCCUGGCUGUACCUGUUGCCACAUGCCUCCUUUCAGUGCUGGGAAUUGCAUUUAUGUCUCAUCUCUCUGGGUGUGUCACUGGUGUCUGUCUUUGUACUUCUGUUCUUAAAAAUCACUGCAGCACUUGUUACUUUGUUCUUCCCAGGACUGAAAGGAGGGUUGUGUUUGCAUGUAAAUUGAUCCCCUCACUUGGGAGGGGUGUAGCUGCAGCCCCCUGCGGUUUGUUAGUGGGGCCAGUCCAAGCUGCUGUUGUACCCCUGGUUGGGAGGGAGGGGAUGCUGUCCCGUUGGUGGUGUGAGACCUGCGCAUAGCGCUGCAAGUGUUAAUUUCUGUUGUUCAUUUUUGGCGGUGUGGACAUGUUUGGCAAGAUGACCAAAGUCUGGUCCUGAGUGGAGAAGAGCUAAGGAAGAGGUGAAGAGCCCUGGAGCUGGUAUGGCGUGGAAGGAGUUGGAGACGGCCUGAAGCCAUGCUCACGUGAUCACCUGGAGCGAGGUAUUUGCUUCUUGUGGGUUGCAGCUCUGGAUGGAGAGAUCCUGCAGUUGCAGGUGCCUGCAUUGUAUCUGGGAAAGGGAUAGCAAGCAUGAGGACUGAUGGCGCACAAGGACUGAAGGCGCAGCGUGAUGCCAGGUGUGGAGCCAUCUUCUGAAGGCUUGAGGGCUGUGGAGCAGACUCUGUGAAGAUGAAGUGAAGAGUCCCAGAGAUGGUGCAGGAGGAAACGGGCAGCCCUGUUGUGACUUCCUGAUUUGCGUGGUGUGAGGCCUCUUCCCCUGUGGCAUCACCUGGCUGGAGUCUGGGGAGGUUUUGUGUGUAGCUUUGCAGGCGGUGCGUCUCCGCUCCCACUUCUUGCUGUGAGGAUGCCUGGAUAAGCAGCAGCAUGAUUGUGGCUGGGUGGCCUCAAUGUUGUGGGGGAGAGGAACAGAAGCGAGGCUUCUGCGGUGGUGGUAGAAGAUGGAGGAACUGGAUCCCGAAAGGUGGGCUGGGUUAAAGUGGGAGGCUGGGUUGCGUUUUCCCUGGUCGUGUUUGGGUGGGGAAGGAAACGCCUUGUGCGUAAUGGGGUCUGGAGCUGCGUGCUGUCUGGGAAGUGAUGCUGAAGCAGGGACUUGUGGCCCUUAGGGAUGCUGCAGAGCAGGGGGUGUAAGCCUGAAUUGGGUUUAGUUUGGUGGUGAGACCUGACUCCUUGUAAAGGCUGGAAAUUGUCCUUGAGUAUAUUAGGGGUUUCAGUGUUUGCCCCUGGCUUCUGGGUGCAGGUGACAGCAUUGGAUGUGCUGGGACAGAGGAGCGGGUGCGUGCGUGUCCGCCUCUGCCUGGCUGUUGCUGCUGCCACUGGUCUUCCUUCAGUUCUGGGAAUUGCACUCUGUCCUAUGUCUCUGGGUGUGUCACUGGUGUUUCUUUCUACUUUGAUAUCUAAAAUCACAGCAGCACUUCUUCUUUCUUUCUUUGCUCUUCCCAGAGCUGGAAGGAUAGGUGUGUUUGCAACUGAAUUGAUCCCCUCAUUUGGGUGGGCUUUGACUGCACCCUGUGUGCCUCGCGUGCGAGUGGGGGUGUUAUGCUUUCGGUGUCCUAGGCUGCUGGGGGUGGGGGGCGUUGUCUCUGCUGUCAGUACUAUGAGACGUGAAUACUGUUGCGUGUAGUAAUUGCUUGUUGUUUUGGGUGUGAUGUUAAUAUGUCGAGCGUGAGUGGAGAAGAGCUGAGGCGAAGAGACCUAGAGCCAGCGCUAGGUAGAAGCGGGUGGAGGAAGCAGGUGGUUGUGCAGCCAUGCUCGCUUCUGGGUCACCUGGAGGGAGGCCUCUGCCUGUUCGGUGGACCUGUGUGCAUGAGCAGAGCCUGCAGAGGUCCCUGCUUCCCCUGUGUGGAGAGGAUGGCAAGGAGGGAGGAGAGUGCGCUGGAGGAAGAGGAGCGUGAUGCCAGGUCCCAUGAGUGCUGUCUCUUGGGGUGAGGCCCUUCUCACAGAUGGAUGGGUGCACCCUGGGCAGGCACGUCUUGGAGAGCUGGUCCUGACCUGUGCAGAGGGAAAUGACUGCCGGUUGAAGGAGUGAAGCUGAGCAGCGCCCACGGAGGGUGAAGCAGGAGGAACUCGAUGCCGCACGGCGUGUCGGUGCCGGAUGGGCAGUUCUGGCAAUUGGUUUCUUUUUUUCUCCAGCCCAGUCCUGGGUGUUGGGCAUUGACUAGGUAGGGUAGACGACUGGAGAUCGAUCUGGAUGUUUCUGACUGGGUCCUGGUCCUUGGAGAGAAGUUUGAGCAGAGAAGGGUGGAAGAUGGAGGCAGAGAGGAUGGUGCAAGCAGGGGGUCUUUUUACCAAGACUUUUGGGGCAGGGAGGAGAAGUGGAGAUUGGGCAGAAGAAGAGAAGACAUCUUGAAGUCAUGAACCAUGGAGCUGCCUGUCAUUGGUGCGUGGAGCAUGUGAUGGGUGCUUGUGCUGUAGCUCUGUCGUGAGGAGCAGGGCAGGGGCAGUGACAUGCUGAGGGCUGGAGAAGGAGCACCACAAAGAUGGCUGUGAGGCCUUGGUCAGGCGUGAAGUAUGUGAGCCAGGAGAGUCGUACAGCACACACGCAGGAUGGAGGGCAACAAGUCGAGCGGGGGGCUUUUUUGGCCAGGGCUGCUGUGAAAUCUGGUGUAGGGCUGGGCCAGCCGGUCCGAGUCUGUCGGAGUCCACGUAUAGGAGAAACGACGGAUGUCUAAGGAGCUUGUGGGGCGUUUGAUCCGGGCUCAUCCCUGGCACUUGGGGUGCAGGCCUGGCCCCUCUCUGGGGUGUGUUGAGGGUGAGCUCUGGGUUUGCGUUCAUGCCCCUGACUUGCUGUUGCUACAGGCCUCCCUUCAGUCUUGGGAACAGCGCUAUGUCCUGUGUGCCUGGGGGUGUCACUGGUGUCUCUCUCUUUCUACCUCUUUGCAAAAUGUCUGCAGCACUUGUUCUUUUUCUGCUCUUGUCAGGACUGGAGGGAAGGCUGUGGUGGGUUUUUUCCUGCCACCUAAAAUGGUUUCUACCUCGGGGAGGGGUCUGACUGCACCCUGUGUGCCCUGUUUAGGCUGGGUGGGGGUAUCGCCUUUGAAUUCUCGGGGGUUGCUUUUGCCCUCAGGGCUGUGAGUCCCGUGUGCCGCGUGACUUUUCCUAAUUUAUUUUUGUUUUGGUGACAUGUACGGGAGUCAUCUGGCUGAGGCUCGAGGCUCCUAAGUGGGCAUCGGGAAGAAGAGGUGGAGAUAUAGCGCCUGUGACCUGAGGAAGCUGGUGAAAGAAACGGAUGUCGGCGCAUUCGCUUUGCUGUUGCCCGGUGUGAGACUUCUGCCCAUGUGGUGGCCCUGGGCUGGAAGCCUUGCUGCGUGUGAAGCCUGCGAUAGAUGUUGGAUUGCUGCUCCCUGUGUGUUGAGGAGGAUGGGCUGCAAUGACUGGAGGCCUGGAAAAGGAGCCGUGUGGCCAGGGUCCUGGCCUGCAUGGAGGGAAGUAGGUGAGAGGACUGCAUCGUGGAAGAGCCGUGGGACAGUGUUGGAUGACAGACACGGACCGGCCGGAUGUUGCCCGCUACGUUGGAAUGUCCCUUCUGUAUUGGGAUUCUGCGUGGGGGUGUGGGGUGGGUUUGGGAGUGUCCUCAGCUUUAUGAUCCUGGAGCCAGGGGUUUGCAAGUAGUAUGUUUGGGUCAGUUUGUCUGUGCUGUGGGUGGACCUAGGGUGACCAGAGGUGAAAUCCAUUCCUGUGACCCUGUAGUUGGACGAGCACCCAGACACUUGCAGGAACCGCUGGGCAAGCAGGCCCAGAGCUUUCAACUGUUGAGCACGGCAAUGCUGGAGCCAGCUAGCAUGGAAGCAGAAGGGCUGGCCGGGCGCGGGGCCCGGGCUGCCUCUGUGGCUUCUGUGCUAGUGAGGUUGAGAAUUGCAGUGCUGGGGGGUUGGAGGUUUUGGACCUGCUUGUGCAGGGUUCUUGUUGGUGUUGGGGUGCUGGUUCUGCUGGGUCAGAGCAAUGGGUUUUAUUCUGCCUGACUGCCAUGUUUACCGUGUCCUGCAGGGCUGGGAGCCUGUCGUAGCAGUGUGUGUUUGGCUGGGGCGGGGUGGUUGUCUGGUUUGGUCCCUGAGCAGUGUGGUGAGCAUGUUUGUUAUUACCCUGAAAUAAAAUAGUUUUCUGAUAGCCUACUGUUAGGCUAACAAUAAUUUAGAUUAUUAAGAAGUAUUAGCUUUGCAGUUGAAUACAAGGCAUGACCUGUGGCCUAGCAAUGCCGCUGACCACAAGGCAGAAUGAUAGCUAAGCCUUUGCUUAUGUUAAGUAAUCAUUUUAACUGUGUUGACUAUUUUCUGAGUAAAAUGCAGCAAGUGAAUCUGUCUGUGUGCUGUAAACCAGAUACAGCAAGGAACAAGGUAAGAGGAAGAAGCCAUUGUUCUAAGUACAGUGAUCGUGUCCUUAAGAAGUAUCUAGUACUGUGCAAGUUUUUGCUAAGAUAUCAUAAUGUUACUGUUACUUACGUUAGAAAAUAUUGUUGGAAAAUCAAUGUGACCUUUGUAUGACCUUUGGUCAAUGCUGGCUGAUGCAACCUUGCAGUAAGAUUGCCAUGAUCUGUCAAUAUAGGCGGGCAGACAAGGUGAUUGGGCCCAACCGUGCGGGGUGAGCAAAGCCAAGCCAUCUUGGUGAUUUUCUCUGAGUUUUGGGCAUGCGUUAUGAAGGAGCUUAUGGAACCAGAGUUUAUAAAUCUAUGUGUUGAGUUGCAGUCGGGGGGUCUCUCUGCCCUUACGAGGACAGGGGACCUUUGGUCGAAUAAACUGAAAAGACCACACCCUCAUCUCUUGCUUGUUGGAGUCUCAGCUGGGAAACGAGCUCUGUUCGGGUUAAGAGAGUCUGCAGGUGUUCCCUUACCAGAUUGGGAGCCUGGUCAGACAAUUUCUCUCACAAUUUGGCGAGCCAGCCAGGAGCACCCAGCUCGUCGCGUUGCCGCUGCCGCCUAAACCCAACCUCCGGCCGGCCGUAACACAGGUGAGUUCACCACGGGAGUCUUGGGUUAAGGCUGCAGACACGGCGGGACGAUAAGGUGACUCCUUCAAUUUUACUGGCAUGGUGUGGUCUUUUAUAUGUUGUGUAUGUCUUGUCUAACGUGUUAUAGGCCAGUCUGUUCUCCGGAUUCUCAAACCUGGGCACACAGGCAAUUUUAGUUAAUUGCCCGUUCGACUCUUUUGAGCCGAUAAAUCUGUGUGGCGCGUUUUAUGUCUCCAUUCGCGCACUGAGGAACCGUCUCUGUUUCUGACCUUUUAACUGGAUAAGUCCUCCAACCUGUUUGAGGCAUCUUAGAGGCCUGCCUUUCCAGGUUGGUUAGGUCUAGGGCAGCCAAGAAAGCAGGGUUUUUGGGGAGCUUAAUAGUAUAUCAGGUUAUCUGGGAAAGGGAUGUCCGCCAAGAAUGACGAUGGGACAGAAACAGUCAAUUCUGGCUAGUAGUCCUCUUGGAGAAUUGUUAAGCAACUGGAAUAAGUUAUCUGGACAUGGCCAAUUGAGUAAGAAGCGCGCUAUAGCCUUAUGUACUAGUGUCUGGCCCGGCUACACUUAUAAAAACCCUGAACUUCAGUGGCCAGUGUUGGGAUCCCUCAGUGUAGAUAAAUGAAGGUACCUCAGGGGGUUCCUAGAGGAACCCCAUCCCCGACUAAUGGAUUAUUGGUAUCUCUGGUGUGAUUUGAUGGAUUUAAUUCUGCAGAGGAAAAAAAAAACUGAUUACUUCUGGCCGCUCAACAACGUCUGUGGUGUCUUCUCCCCCUUAUUCUCCCACUAUGCCACCAUUGGUGACUAGGGGACCAGCCAUAAUAAACCCGGCCGCUUAGGCCGUGGCCCUUCCGGCACCUUUUACCCCUCCAUCAGGCUCCUCUCCUCCCGUAACAGGAGUGUCAGGGUCUGUACGUGCCUCCUCGGAGCCUACUUUCAGUCCCAUAGCAGGACAUACUAGGUAGCGUUUGAAUCAGGUCAUACACCUGCUGUUGUACACAUGUAAUGACAUCUGCACACCCCCAUCACACAUGCAGUCACGCCUGUUCAGAGUCCCUUACAGACACGCGCCUGCACAGAACCCCAAAACACACUGCGACAUACACAUGUGCCCCAACAGGUGUCCGUGACACACUUGCACACAAAUGUGCAUCCUCGCACACAUGCAUGUGCACAGUCUCACACACGCACCCAGAGCCCAGGUGCUUGUGACACGUGCAUGCUCACACACAUGGAACUCAGGUGUCUGACACACAUGCAUAUGUGCUCUCGCGGACACAGUCUAGCACACAUGUACAGAACCCAAGUGUCUGUGGCACACAGGCAAGUACCCUGACAUAUUCACAUUCACACACACACAAGCCCACAUGGGUAGAUAUGAAUCAACCUGCCCCCAAUGAUGUGUGCAAUUAUUGUAAACAAUUGGGGCAUUGGAGACGAGAACGCCCAAACUGCCCUAAGGGACUUCCCCCUUAUGGAGGAAGAAAGGGGGGAACCCAGGGAAACAACCGGGCUGCCAGCACCGAUCCUACAGAUCCCUGGGUCCAGAGUUUGCAAGAAGAUAUAGAUGACUCCCAGUGAAAUAAGGGGGCGGCUCUUCCACACGAUGUAUUUAGGGGAAUCUUCCUCUUUUGAGUAUACCUGCGCCCCUUCAUCCCCUUAUGUACCACUUCAAAUAGCAGGAAAAUUUAUAAAUGUCUUAUAGAUAGAGGAGCAGAUCUGUCCUCACUGGGAGAAUCUCCAGAAAGGGCGGGAAUUGCAGUCUCAGGAUCUGAAAAGAUUAUGAGAGUAAUUGGAAAAUCUAUGCAAGUGCCCCGUGGCACUGAAACACAAGUGCAGAUAGGACCCUUGACCACUAUUCAUGCUUUCCUAUUAGCUGAAGGAACUGUAGUGCACCUCCUUGGAAGAAAUCUACUCUAUAAACUACAGACCAGAAACCCUUCACCCUACUUACUCAUGAGAAUCAAGGCGUUGCUUCAGGUGUCUUAACUCAGCCAUGGGGAGUUUCUAAUCGUCCCAUAGCAUACUAUUCUGCUCAGUUAGAUCCUGUAGCAAGGGCAGCAAUUCUCUGUCUUAGAGCAGUCGCUGCUGCCGCUGUGCUAGUUCAAAAGGCUCAAGAUUUAGUGUUAGGACACUCUCUUGUGGUUGAAAUAUCUCAUUCAGUGGAAGCUCUCCUACUACAGCACAACCUCUGCCAGCAGGGACCAACGCCCAGGCCGCUGAGCUAGCGGCACUCUGACGAGCAUGCAAAUUGGCCACAGCCUCCAGGGUCACUAUCUAUACUGACUCUAAAUAUGCUUUUAGUAUCUGUCAUGCGCUAGGACAGUCCUGGUGACAAAGAGGUUUUAUCACGUCCUCUGAUGCUGUAAUCAGCAAUGCCACGGAAGUCCAAGAACUGCUAGAGGCUGUCGUGUUACCAGGUGAUAUAGCGGUAAUGCACGGUCCCAGACAUUCCAGAGAAGAUACUGACAUCGCUAAAGGAAAGCAUCUUGCAGAUGCUGUAGCUAGAGCCGCUGCACUACAAACUAAAGGAAGUCUCCUUGCAUCUCAAGUUGUUCUUCCACCCUUGUCUGUGAUUUAUGACAAAGUCCCAGCGGAUGAAGUAUCUAUAUGGGUCCAAAAGUGGGAAGCUGCGCAAGGAAAGGAUGGAGUGUGACGUGUGCCAGACGGUAGACCAAUUGCUCCUCGCACCUUGCUCCGAAGUCUGGCUCAGGAUGCCCACAGAUGCUGUCAGUCGGGAAAAGGAGAAAUAGCAGAACAGGUCCUCUCCACCUGGUUUGCUCCAGGUAUACAUCUAGAAGCUGCCCGAAUAACUCUGCAAUGUUCAGAGUGCAGAGCCUUCAACAAAUACAGAGGACACACAAAAUUACAAGGGGCCCGACCGUGGGCCUAUUUACCCUUUGAAAAACGACAUGGAUUUGCUCAAAGCUGUAAAUUUCAAGCACUGCCUAGUAGUGGUAGAUCAAGUAACAGGAUGGCCAGAAGCUUUCUCCACUCGAGAAGCGGAUUCAGUAGCGGUAGCCAAACCCGUAUUAAAAGAAAUCAUCCCACAUUUCGGCAUUCCAGGAGGAAUAAACUCUGACUGGGGAACUCACUUUACAGAAACUGUUUUAAAAGAAGUUUACAGAGUUUUUGGAAUAAUAACAUACUUGCACGCACCCUAUCGCCCUCUGUCCUCGGGUCAGGUAGAGAGUAUGAAUCAGAGUAUAAAAUCCCUUUUAGGAAAGAUCUGCUCCUAAACCAAAUUGAAAUGGUCAGAUGCUUUACCAAGGGUGCUGUUCGCUAUAAGAACAAAACCCAAAUGGCCUCUCAACCUUGUCCCCCUACGAGUUGUUGUUUGGUCACGCUCCUGUUAUAUAAGAGAUGGGAAAAUCUGCAUGUUAGCUUACUCGGCGGAGAUGAAGCUUUAAUUAGUUAUGUUUUAUCCUUACAGGAGUCUCUCUAGUGUUUACACAGGUCAGCUGCUUUGGUUCAGCUGGUACCCCUGGACUGUAACCUUCACUCCUAUCAAUCAGGACGCUGAGUUUGGGUAAAACAGCAUCGGUGAAAAACCGCCUCGGCCCAAGUCUGGGCAGGUCCGUACCAAGUUCUUCUUACUAUACACGCUGCUGUGAAAAUCGCCGAGAAAGAGGGCCGGAUUCAUCGCGGUCGCCUCAAACCUGGUAUCGGCAAGUAAUGACCGGUCAGCUGCUGUUCCGCCUUUAUGGCUAGAAAGAA